UACGGAGGGUGCGAGCGUUGUCCGGAAUCACGGGGCGUAAAGGGCGCGUAGGCGGCCUGAUAAGUAGGGGGUGAAAUCCUGCGGCUUAACCGCAGGGCUGCCUUCUAAACUGUCAGGCUAGAGCACAGUAGAGGCAGGUGGAAUUCCCGGUGUAGCGGUGGAAUGCGUAGAGAUCGGGAAGAACAUCAGUGGCGAAGGCGGCCUGCUGGGCUGUUGCUGACGCUGAGGCGCGACAGCGUGGGGAGCGAACAGG
rnacentral:rRNA from 1 species